rnacentral:misc_RNA from 1 species
GGCAAUUUCCUCUCCGAGUUGGCUUGUCUGACAUUUCACUGAGUUAAUUUCAUUUUCGAGAUUUUGUAGUGUAGUUAUUUGCAUUUGCUCCUCGGCUGUUAUCUUAACUGCUUCAUCCUCUACAUCACUCAUUUGAGUGCGAAGAGUCUUCAUCCACUGAAAAUACUCUUCCAUUUUUGCAGAAACCUCAAUUCGCAGAGCUAUGAGCCGCAGAUUC